rnacentral:rRNA from 1 species
UACGUAGGGUGCAGGCGUUUAAUCGGAAUUACUGGGCGUAAAGCGUGCGCAGGCGGUUUGCUAAGACAGGUGUGAAAUCCCCGGGCUUAACCUGGGAACUGCGCUUGUAACUGGCAAGCUAGAGUGUGGCAGAGGGGGGGGUGGGAAUUCCACGUGUAGCAGUGAAAUGCGUAGAGAUGUGGAGGAACACCGAUGGGCGAAGGCAGCCCCCCUGGGCUAACACUGACGCUCAUGCACGAAAGCGUGGGGAGCAAACAGG